GGGAGGUGGCUUACCUGAGUGGUUAAAGAAUCUGCUUUGCAUGCACAAGGUCCCGGGUUCAAUCCCCAAUCUCCCA